rnacentral:rRNA from 1 species
AUACGUAGGGGGCGAGCGUUGUCCGGAAUGAUUGGGCGUAAAGGGCGCGUAGGCGGCGCGGUAAGUCUGGAGUGAAAGUCCUGCUUUCAAGGUGGGAAUUGCUUUGGAUACUGCCGCGCUUGAGUGCAGGAGAGGGUAUCGGAAUUCCCGGUGUAGCGGUGAAAUGCGUAGAGAUCGGGAGGAACACCAGUGGCGAAGGCGGGUAACUGGACUGCAACUGACGCUGAGGCGCGAAAGUGUGGGGAGCAAACAGGAUUAGAUACCCUGGUAGUCCACACUGUAAACGAUGAAUGCUAGGUGUAAGAGGUAUCGACCCCUUUUGUGCCGGAGUCAACACAAUAAGCAUUCCGCCUGGGGAGUACGGCCGCAAGGUUGAAACUCAAAGGAAUUGACGGGG